AAGGUUUUGGGUGACCGAGCUUCAAGCCACCGGUGGCGGGGAAGGUGAGAGAGAAGGAGAACGUGGCCUGUGGAGGGAAAAGGUUAGAGAGAAAUGAGAGGGUGGCCACGGCUAAAGAGAAACGGGGAAAAAAGAAAAUGAAGGGAGGGAUUACCGGCAGAGGGAAGAGAUAUUUAGGGUUUUGGGUGACCGAGCUUCAAGCCAACGGUGGAGGGGAAGGUGAGAGAGAAAGAGAAAGCGGUUGACGAAGGGAAAAGUUUAGAAAAAAGUGAGAGGGUG
rnacentral:lncRNA from 1 species